ACCUGGAACAGAAACGAAAGCCCCGGAUGGAAAACCCGGAGCGGGAAUGGAAAACCUGGAACAGACACGAAAGCCCCGGAUGGAAAACCCAGAGCGGGAGCGGGAACGAGAGCCCCGGAUGGAGAACCCAGAGCGGGAGCGGAAAACCUGGAACAGAGACGAAAGCCCCGGAUGGAAAACCCGGAGUGGGAGCGGAAAACCUGGAACAGAGACGAAAGCCCCGGAUGGAAAACCCGGAGCGGGAGCGGGAACGAGAGCCCCGGACGGAAAACUUGGAGUGGCAGCAGGAGAAGGAGCCCGGGACGGAAACCCGGAGCGGGAGCGGAAGCGGAAAACCUGGAACAGAGACGGAAGCCCCGAUGGAAAACCCGGAAAACCUGGAACAGAAACGAAAGUCCCGGAUGGAAAACCCGGAGCGGGAGCGGAAACGAGAGCCCCGGAUGGAAACCCCGGAGCGGGAGCGGAAAACCUGGAACAGAGACGAAAGCCCCGGAUGGAAAACCCGGAGUGGGAGUGGGAGCGGGAACAAGAGCCCCGGACGGAAAACCCGGAGCAGAGACGAAAGCCCCAGAUGGAAAACCCGGAGUGGCAGCAGGAGCAGGAGCCCGGGACGGAAAACCCGGAGCGGAAGCGGGAGCGGGAGCCCCCUGACGGAAACCCUGGAGCAGGAGCGGGAGCUCCGGAUGGAAAACCCGGAGGGGAAGCAGGAGCCCCCGGACGGAAAACCCGGAGCGGGAGCGGGAGGCCCCGGACAGAAAACCCAGAGUGGAAACGAGAGCCCGGGACAGAAAACCCGGAGCAGAGACGGAAGCCCCGGACGGACGGAAAACCCGGAGCGGGAGUGGGAGCGGGAGCCCGGAUGGAAAACCCGAGCAGAGACGGAAGCCCCGGACGGACGGACGGAAAACCCGGUGGACACGUCACCUUGAAGCCUGUGCGUCCGCGUUGCCGUGUCUUCCCCACGAGGCCUGCAGUCACAGCACCCAUCGCCCACCUUCCCUCAGUUCUCCGUCAAUGCCCAGUGCCCGUGUCUGCCUCUCAACCUCCAUCUGCAGCGAAAUGAAUUUUUCACUGUCCUGCACGUGACGCACUCAGGAACCCACGUGGUGAGCAGUGAAGACACGCUCGUGCUCCCUGCAGGCCUGUGACCUUCCCAGCAACGAUCCGGUCCAAACAAGAUGCUUCCUUUGAAAAAUGUCCUAAGGUGCAAGCUCAUCUCAGCUCAUCUCAUUCCAAACCGUGCCCUCUCCCCUGGUGUUCACCUUCCGCUUGCUG
rnacentral:lncRNA from 13 species